rnacentral:tRNA from 1 species
AUUAGGGUGGCAGAGCUUGGAAAGUGCAUUAGGCCUAAACCCUUUACAACGGAGGUUCAAAUCCUCUCCCUAAUU